GACGAACGCUGGCGGCGUGCUUAACACAUGCAAGUCGAGCGGUAAGGCCCUUUCGGGGGUACACGAGCGGCGAACGGGUGAGUAACACGUGGGUGACCUGCCCUCAGCUCUGGGAUAAGCCUGGGAAACCGGGUCUAAUACCGGAUAUGACUCCAUGACGCAUGUUGUGGGGUGGAAAGCCUUGUGCGGCUGAGGAUGGGCCCGCGGCCUAUCAGCUUGUUGGUGGGGUGAUGGCCUACCAAGGCGACGACGGGUAGCCGGCCUGAGAGGGCGACCGGCCACACUGGGACUGAGACACGGCCCAGACUCCUACGGGAGGCAGCAGUGGGGAAUCUUGCGCAAUGGGCGAAAGCCUGACGCAGCGACGCCGCGUGAGGGUAUGACGGCCU
rnacentral:rRNA from 1 species